AAGGAGCCUCCAAGGAGGAAUUGCCCAGAGAUACUGGUGGCUGCCCGAUAUUCUGCCUAUAGGCCUAAUGGGACUCCAGGAGCUCACCAGGUGUGAAGCCAGAGAUGGGCAACUAUAUUACAGACUAAAUAAGCCCAGUUCCCUCAGCCUCUCCUCAGAAGUCAUGUCCCCCAGCCCCUUCACCAUUUUUGUUGCCCUCUGCUGGACUCCCUCCAAUUUGUUCACAUCGUUUCUUGUCUACUCAUCCAUUCACAAACACAGUAAAAUGGAAUUUUCCCUGAGCCUGAGGAAGGGCAUGUGCCUGAAAGCUUGCAGAAAAAGAUUUUUGUGUGUGUGUGUAUUCUUAGUUGUUCUAAUAAAAGGUAUCA